rnacentral:rRNA from 1 species
GGGUGCAAUCAUACCUGUGUUAAUGCACUAGAUCCCAUUGGAACUCCAUAGUUAAGUGUGCUUGGGCUAGAGUAGUAUUGGGAUGGGUGACCUCCCAGGAAGUUCUAGUGUUGCACCCU